rnacentral:rRNA from 1 species
UACGGGGGUAGCAAGCGUUGUUCGGAUUUACUGGGCGUAAAGGGCGCGUAGGCGGUCAGCACAAGUCAGUUGUGAAAUCUCCGGGCUUAACUCGGAAAGGUCAACUGAUACUGUGCGACUAGAGUGCGGAAGGGGCAACUGGAAUUCUCGGUGUAGCGGUGAAAUGCAUAGAUAUCGAGAGGAACACCUGCGGCGAAGGCGGGUUGCUGGGCCGACACUGACGCUGAUGCGCGAAAGCCAGGGGAGCAAACGGG